CAGUCGAACGCGUCUCCGUUAAUGAUUUUAGGUGCUUGCACUUGAGAGAUUCAACAUUGAGACGAGUGGCGAACUGGUGAGUAACACGUGGGUAACCUGCCCUUGAAGUAGGGGAUAACACUUGGAAACAGGUGCUAAUACCGUAUAACAACCAAAACCACCUGGUUUUGGUUUAAAAGACGGCUUCGGCUGUCACUUUAGGAUGGACCCGCGGCGUAUUAGCUUGUUGGUAAGGUAACGGCCUACCAAGGCGAUGAUACGUAGCCGACCUGAGAGGGUAAUCGGCCACAUUGGGACUGAGACACUGCCCAAACUCCUACGGGAGGCAGCAGUAGGGAAUCUUCCACAAUGGACGAAAGUCUGAUGGAGCAACGCCGCGUGAGUGAUGAAGGGUUUCGGCUCGUAAAACUCUGUUGUUGGAGAAGAACAGGUGUCAGAGUAACUGUUGACAUCUUGACGGUAUCCAACCAGAAAGCCACGGCUAACUACGUGCCAGCAGCCGCGGUAAUACGUAGGUGGCAAGCGUUGUCCGGAUUUAUUGGGCGUAAAGCGAGCGCAGGCGGUUUUUUAGGUCUGAUGUGAAAGCCUUCGGCUUAACCGGAGAAGUGCAUCGGAAACCGGGAGACUUGAGUGCAGAAGAGGACAGUGGAACUCCAUGUGUAGCGGUGAAAUGCGUAGAUAUAUGGAAGAACACCAGUGGCGAAGGCGGCUGUCUGGUCUGUAACUGACGCUGAGGCUCGAAAGCAUGGGUAGCGAACAGGAUUAGAUACCCUGGUAGUCCAUGCCGUAAACGAUGAGUGCUAAGUGUUGGAGGGUUUCCGCCCUUCAGUGCUGCAGCUAACGCAUUAAGCACUCCGCCUGGGGAGUACGACCGCAAGGUUGAAACUCGAAGGAAUUGACGGGGG
rnacentral:rRNA from 1 species